rnacentral:lncRNA from 1 species
GUCAAGCCUGAUGGCAGCAGGGAAGAAGAAGGCCUGGCUAGAUAACAGGUCAAGCCUGAUGGCAGCAGGGAAGAAGAAGGCCUGGCUAGAUAACAGGUCAAGCCUGAUGGCAGCAGGGAAGAAGAAGGCCUGGCUAGAUAACAGGUCAAGCCUGAUGGCAGCAGGGAAGAAGAAGGCCUGGCUAGAUAACAGGUCAAGCCUGAAGGCAGCAGGGAAGACUGUCAUUGUACAGGCCGUGAGUACACACACACACACACACACGGUUGUUGAUUGGGGAGUGAGGCACACUGGGGUCCUUCCCAAAUGGUACCCUAUUCCCUGUUUACUGUACUGUUUUUGACCAGGGCCCAUAGGGUGCUAUUGGGACAGCGUUGGGAUGAGGAGAGGGACUUAAAACCAUACAAAGCAUGUCUGGGGUUGGAAAACUCAAAGCAGCUACAAAUUACCAUGAGCCAGGUCACACCAAUUAAUGGUUUAUUAAUUAGCCUUUUGUCUGACUGUCUGUCUGUACACUGUCUGUCUGUACACUGUCUGUCUGUACACUGUCUG